AUUGAACGCUGGCGGCAUGCCUUACACAUGCAAGUCGAACGGCAGCACGGGAGCAAUCCUGGUGGCGAGUGGCGAACGGGUGAGUAAUAUAUCGGAACGUGCCCAGUAGUGGGGGAUAGCCCGGCGAAAGCCGGAUUAAUACCGCAUACGACCUGAGGGUGAAAGCGGGGGAUCGCAAGACCUCGCGCUAUUGGAGCGGCCGAUAUCAGAUUAGCUAGUUGGUGGGGUAAAGGCCUACCAAGGCUACGAUCUGUAGUUGGUCUGAGAGGACGACCAGCCACACUGGGACUGAGACACGGCCCAGACUCCUACGGGAGGCAGCAGUGGGGAAUUUUGGACAAUGGGCGCAAGCCUGAUCCAGCAAUGCCGCGUGCAGGAAGAAGGCCUCGGUUGUAACUAGCUUUGUUCUAGGGAAGAAAGUACUUCUGGG
rnacentral:rRNA from 1 species